UACAAAUAAGUCAACAUGACCAAAAUAGUCAGUUGACCCGACCCCUUAAGGAGUUAUUGUCCUUUAUAGUCAAUUUUUGUCAAUUUUUUGUCAAUAUUUGUUAUCUUUUACAAAAAUCUUCUCCUCUGAAAGUACUAAGACAAAUUUAACCAAACUUGUCCACAAUCAUCAUUAGGGUAAGUAGUUUUAAAAAUGUGUCCGAUGACCCUGCCUGC
rnacentral:lncRNA from 1 species